CGGGGGGCAGCAGUGGGGAAUCUUGCGCAAUGGACGAAAGUCUGACGCAGCAACGCCGCGUGAGGGAUGAAGGUUUUCUGAAUUGUAAACCUCUUUCGACAGGAACGAUUGUGACGGUACCUGUAGAAGAAGCACCGGCCAACUAUGUGCCAGCAGCCGCGGUGAUACAUAGGGUGCAAGCGUUAUUCGGAUUUAUUGGGCGUAAAGAGCUCGUAGGCGGUUCGAUCAGUCGGGUGUGAAACCCCCAGGCUUAACCUGGGGCAGCCACUCGAAACUGUCGUGACUAGAGUUUGGUAGGGGAUCACGGAAUUCCUGGUGUAGCGGUGGAAUGCGCAGAUAUCAGGAGGAACACCAGCAGCGAAGGCGGUGAUCUGGGCCAAUACUGACGCUGAGGAGCGAAAGCGUGGGGAGCGAACAGGAUUAGAUACCCGAGU
rnacentral:rRNA from 1 species